GAGGCACGCUGGCGGCGUGCCUAAUACAUGCAAGUCGAGCGAACGGACGAGAAGCUUGCUUCUCUGAUGUUAGCGGCGGACGGGUGAGUAACACGUGGAUAACCUACCUAUAAGACUGGGAUAACUUCGGGAAACCGGAGCUAAUACCGGAUAAUAUUUUGAACCGCAUGGUUCAAAAGUGAAAGACGGUCUUGCUGUCACUUAUAGAUGGAUCCGCGCUGCAUUAGCUAGUUGGUAAGGUAACGGCUUACCAAGGCAACGAUGCAUAGCCGACCUGAGAGGGUGAUCGGCCACACUGGAACUGAGACACGGUCCAGACUCCUACGGGAGGCAGCAGUAGGGAAUCUUCCGCAAUGGGCGAAAGCCUGACGGAGCAACGCCGCGUGAGUGAUGAAGGUCUUCGGAUCGUAAAACUCUGUUAUUAGGGAAGAACAUAUGUGUAAGUAACUGUGCACAUCUUGACGGUACCUAAUCAGAAAGCCACGGCUAACUACGUG
rnacentral:rRNA from 1 species